ACGAUAGCGCUGGAACAACUGAGCGAGACGGUGGUGGACGCGCUGUCGUCGCUGGUGGGCGCGCACGCGGCCGCGCGCGGCGCGCACAAGCUGUUCCACACGCUGCAGAACACCACGCACAACAAGCAGCUCGCCUACGAACUCUUCGAACUGGUCCUCAUGGAGGUGUUUCCAGAGCUGAAACGCUACCAUACCUAACACCCAAAAGUAAGCGACGCUCAAGACAAUAUUAUAUCAAAUUUCGUAACCGUACAGGGAUUGAACAGGCAAAAUUAAAUUGUCUGAUAUUUUGCUACACUCUUAAAACAUUCCGAUUUACAGUAUUUUUCACAACAGUGGACUGAAAAACCUACAAUCCAUUACUUUUAAAUUAGUAUGUACCUACCUACAUGUAACAAAAAUAUUAAUUCUUUGGUAAACAUACUUCGAACUCUUGGAGGUUAGAAGUUAAAAAUUGCUCUCAAAUUAAAAAAAAACAUCGCAAUGAGAAUUUGCGAGUUCAGCAGCGGUAUCAUGGUCGCAUUUUUAUCACCUGCCUUGUCAUGCAUCACUUUCGCACUUACUUGUUAGAACGUGACAGGCAUGGUGAUAAAUGAUAAAGAGCCGACCAUCUUAGCCCUACUGGUUGAUCUCACCUUCGUGUUCAGUUUAUAUUCAUGUAAUACUAAUAUUUAGAUCUGUAAAUUUCUUAGAUAUAUCUACGUGCCAAAGAUUGCACCGUGUGAAUAGCUUCUUAGAUGUACGGCUUAAAUGUUAACAUGUACCUGAGUUUUAUAUCAAAUCUAUUUAUCUAGACUUUUAUCUUUUGUACUGAUGAUUAUUUCCAUCAUUUUCUAGUCUUUGUUGAUCUUCUGAACUAUAUGCGUAGGUGUUGAAGUGUUGGUAUUGUAUUAACAAUUUGUAUAAAGCCUCUUAGUUAGCUUUUUGCUGGGGUUCUGAUGGUGCACCAAGCAAUUGUUAUAUAAAUACACAGUCGUUUCAUAUUAAUAUAUAGGUAUAGAUACUUUACCUUAUUUAUAAGUAGAAUGGAUACUUCUAUUCUAAUUAUCUGAAAUUAAAAAAUAAACGAGUUAAUGAUGAUAAUUGUUGUCUUUUAUGCAAGGUACCAUCGCCAACACUUUGUCAACGAUGUCAUUUAAUUUAUUUGUAUUUGAAGGUGAAAAAUAAAAGACGAAUAAUUUGAAUAAAUUCUAUUUUUUAAUGUUCAAUAUAAUAAAUCUGACGACUUUGGACCCAGGGAGGCGCUGGUGCCCAAGCCGUAUUAUUUUUUACCUAAUGUUAAACCUAGACAUGAAUUUGGCCAAAUCGACAAACAUAAUACUGAAUUUUGGCACGAACAGUGUCGGGACAAUUAAAUAAUUAUCAAAUAAGUUUACAUCAGCCCUGAGCGUUCAAAUUAUUGUGCACCUGGAUGGAACUUAUGCAAAUACAUAUUAAAUAUUUAAUAAUAAAGUAACUGCCAUCUCUAGUUCCCCAUCCUAUAGCUUUCAAAGCAUCUGGUAUCACAGCACUCUUAUAGGUAUUAUUUAACUCUUUCCCUUAACCGCUACAUGUAAAAUCAUCUGAGUAACAAACGCAAAAUCAAUAACAUACAUCAUCAUACCAUAACGGCAUCAAAAUAGUUCAAAGAUUUAAAGUUUGAUGUCAAGUCACACAUGUGGUUUUCGUUUCAAAGAGUUCCAUACAUAGGAAUAUGUUAAUCAUUUACAUAUAGCUUGUGUGUUGAAUCUUAAACCUAACAAUAAGUAUGAUGAAUGUUCUUUUAAAUUACCAAUAGUCCAUGUAAGGAACUGCUCCAGUUUUCAUUCAAUCAAAUUUUCGACACGGCUUCUUCAUAUUUUUUUGAUCUUGAUAAAGAUUUAAAUACAUUCUUUCAAUAAUGUUACGAUUUUUAAAAGUGGUGUUAAUAUCUUCACUUAAAUUCUUAGCAAACAAGCGGGGCGGAAUGUAUCGUUAAUUAAUAAAUCUAACUAUCACAUAAGUAACGGAGUUAACGGUUGUACAGUCAGCAGCAGAAGUGUCUGAAAGAGUGCUAAAAAUUAUUUUUCACCACAUCAGCACGUAAAGGUUCUGUUUAUUCUUCAAAAACUUAUGAUAAAGUUGCAUUUUAGUCACAAGAGUGGCAAAGUAGUUUGGUGCAGCAUUUCUUCCGUCAAGUUACCUACUUCUGGCGCUGUCUGUACCUUAACAUGACCAUCGAUGUACCUUAUUGGGCUUAUUGCAACGAGAUGUCUUCUCAUGAACAAUUAUUGUUUUGUUUGUAGUUAAUUAGCUGCAGUACUUACUCCUAAUAAGAGAUAAGAAAAUGUAUACAAUAAACAUAUAUUAUUUAACAACUGUAUUUGUAAAAACGUAAAAGCAACUUUGUGUCAAAAUUCUUCGUUACUUUAUUUUGCCUCUCUGAAACCAUCUGCUCAUUUAAUUACCAUCCUAAUCCUACCUAAGAUUAAAACACCCUGUGAAACUUUAUGUGUGCAUUUUUGCGCGAGGUCACGACGUAAAUGCACAAAUAAAAAAAAACAAAAACCAUAGGAUUUGAUUCGUUCAUCUGUUUUACCGGAUUUGAGGAUCAAAGUUCUAUACCUCGAAAUAAAAAUUUUGAGGUCUGGUAUUUUAACUAUAGGCUUCAGGUUCAUUUUAUUUAGCUGAAUGUACCUAUACAGUAGAUAAGGGUACCUGAAAUUGUACAUUAAAUUGCGGCUAAACAAAACCACGUAAAACGGGCAAUAUUCGUUUUCAUUAUUCUCGGCCUUUUUAAAUUUCUUUCACCUGGCAUCAUCAUAUCAGUCAAAAGAUUUCCAAUGUUGGGUGAAGCCAGCGUUCCUUCUCUGGCCUUAUACAACGGGUGCGAUGUCGGCCGUCUUGGGGAACGCUCCCAAUAUAAAUAUAUGCCAAAUAUCCACUACCUACUUUUAACUCUGGCAACUCGCUCGCUGCCGACCUUAAAGCUGUAUCCAGACGAGACAGUUUUUCGAAAAUCUGAUGAAAUUCUCCGAUCGAACAGGGCCACGCAAAUACCAAUUUGAUUCCCCGAUCACAUCAGCAGACACAAAAAUGCCAAUUUUCAUAGUAGAAUGCAAAUUGGUGAUUUAAUUUGUGUACGUGUGGACGCUAGAUGAGAUUGAUCAAUUAUUUUCCUGAACAAAUCGACUGAUACCCCUUGAUUCUCCGUCAAUCUUAUUUUUGUGAGUUUUUUUGUUCUUUGAGUAGGUAGCCAAUUUUGAGCUUGACAUUACAAUCAACACAUUGGACGAGAAGAUAUUACCUACGUCCGAAAACGGCCUGUCCGAGUAAAAUUUGUUUUCUCCAAUAUGCUCGGAAAUGUUCACCUUACUGUAGCAAAAAUAGUACGGGAAGUUCUUCGUUAAUGUCAAACUCUAACUAAAAAACACAACAUCACAACAAACAUAACAUCAAACUAUCGCUGUCCUGUUCUAGCGGACGGGAAGUAAAAAAACACUACAGUAAUAACUUAUUACUGUAGUGUUUUUUACUUUUUAAUAAUAAAAAACGCAAACAGCCAAUUAUUAUUGCCGUGAGCCGCUUCUACACGACCCGAUCAGCUAUCAUUUCACGUGUAUGAUCGUGCGAAUACUGCUUAAUAAAAUCAAAGAUUAUUUUUAUAUUUUUUUUAAAUCUCAUCCGUGUUCAUAAAGCUUACAUAGUUUGUCAAAGGACUUUCUCAUUUCAAACAUAGACAAAGAGAAUCAUACUAUCUUUGUCUUACACUAGUACUAGCACCCAAAAGAAAAGGAUGGGUGUAGUUUUCCUGGUUCUUACUGACUGAAAAGUUGGUUUGACAAACUAUAUUGCGCAAUUAUAUUGAAUGAACGAAUAUUGAAUGGUACUGAAUGGCAGAAUAAGUUUGUGCCUUUAACUUUUAAAAAUUAACUAAAGAGGGAAAUUGUUUUUGACAUUUUGGAUGUGAAGGUUUGAUUUGAGUGAUGCUUGAUGCUUAAAUAAUAAUUAUUUUAGCUUAUUUCCUCGCAUGUUUGGAGAAAAGCACUAUAUAUGCCUCGGCAGGAACAGCAAUUCGUGGAUUCGUCUUCUUUGUCGGACUCCGCUUCG